rnacentral:rRNA from 1 species
AGUGAACGCUGGCGGUAGGCCUAAUACAUGCAAGUCGAACGGCAGCACAGUAAGAGCUUGCUCUUACGGGUGGCGAGUGGCGGACGGGUGAGGAAUACAUCGGAAUCUACUUUUUCGUGGGGGAUAACGUAGGGAAACUUACGCUAAUACCGCAUACGACCUACGGGUGAAAGCAGGGGAUCUUCGGACCUUGCGCGAUUGAAUGAGCCGAUGUCGGAUUAGCUAGUUGGCGGGGUAAAGGCCCACCAAGGCGACGAUCCGUAGCUGGUCUGAGAGGAUGAUCAGCCACACUGGAACUGAGACACGGUCCAGACUCCUACGGGAGGCAGCAGUGGGGAAUAUUGGACAAUGGGCGCAAGCCUGAUCCAGCCAUACCGCGUGGGUGAAGAAGGCCUUCGGGUUGUAAAGCCCUUUUGUUGGGAAAGAAAAGCAGCAGGUUAAUACCCCGCUGUCCUGACGGUACCCAAAGAAUAAGCACCGGCUAACUUCGUG